CCGCUGAGCCACCCGGGGUGCCUGAGAUGGCAUUUUCUUAAAGCCAAAGAAUUAGGGGCACCUGGGUGGCUCAGUGCAGCGUCUGCCUUCAGCUCAGAAGGAAGUUGGGACGACCCACAGUUGACUGCUUCAAAACACCCAAGCAGCAAAAAAGAAUUUUAAAGAAAAGUGACCCACAGGAAAGCACCGUGGAACAGCGCAGACCGGAAACUACCGAACUACGUACAGCACCACGGGUUACCAACCGACGCAAAGACGCACGAGCUCUAACCCCCACAUCCUUAGUUCUGCUUUUCGAACCGGGAAAAGGGAGCCUCGUUAGCCGAGGCCUCAAAAAAUUGGGGUUCGUGCUCCCCGCCCGGAAUUCGUGGGGAGCACAUUGUUUCUGGCAAGCAGCGUGCCCCGCGACACUGCACAAACCUCCGUGGGGCUGGACCUCAAGCAGCGUGAAACUGCCUUUUCGUGGUGCACCAUGGGUAUGCAAAUCACGGGCGCUCCCGGCGCGGAGACGCCGCCGGGGACCUCGGGGGGCAGCGCUCGCUCCUUGCCCUGGUCUGCGUGGGCACUCGCGCCGGGCUUGCUCCCAGUGAGGGGUGCUCCCCGCCGGUGCCCGGCCCUAUACCGGGGCUGGGGUUGUUAGUCCCAGUGCUUGGGGUGCCGUCUAAUGGCAAACCUGCAGCGAUCCCCCGGCCCCCAUCCCGGGACAGAGCAGAAGCGCUAGGGCAAAGACACCCGGGGACCCCGGGACCUCCUGGGAGGCAGGUCACGACCCCUCCUGCAGGAGGUGGCAUCCGGUUUAUAUUACAGGCUGUUCCAUCCAGGAGGAAAAGAGGGUGCAGUCCGGUGAAUGAUGGGGGGUGCUCAGGGAGCCUUGGGCCUGCCUAGGGUGUGGUGCGCCUGAAUGAGGCGGGAGUCUGGCUGGGCCCCGGGAGAGCCGGUGAGCGCGAGGCUGCAGAGAGCUGCACCUGGAAGGGGCUCGGAUUUCAUCCUGUCCGUGAUGCCACCCAGGGUGGGCUGCCCCGCACACCCCAGGACUUGUCUCUGAGACUGAAUGUGAUUCGUGCCCCUGGACUGUCCAUUCUUGGGAUGGCCCAACUCCAAGUGCCUGGGAUCCGCUCAGUUGCUGCCACACCAGGGCACCCUUCUGUGUUUCAGGGUUAUUCCCUAAGCGGUCGGAGCAAAAACCUUCAGCACAGCUAGUACCUGUACAAACUACAAAACCAGAGAGCACCAGGGAGAUGCUGGGCUCUUCCUUACAUCAAUGAUUUCAUUCAAAAUCAUGAGAAAAGGGGGAUCCCUGGGUGGCUUAGCGGUUUGGCGCCUGCCUUUGGCUCAGGGCGUGGCCCUGGAGUCCUCGGAUCAAUCGAGUCCCAUCUCGGGCUCCCUGCAUAGAGCCUGCUUCUCCC